AACGCACAUUGCGCCUAUUAGCAUUCUAGUGGGCAUGCCUGUUCGAGCGUCAUUUCACCCCUCAGUUUAUAACUGGUGUUGGGGCAUAUAGUGCACUAUUAGUGACCUGUAGCCCUUAAAUUUAGUGGCAGCACUAUAGGGAUGCCUCUGUGUAGUAGUUAAAAACUCACUCAGGAAACCAUAGCUUGCUCGCUAAGACCAUUAUUUCACUAGUUUGACCUCGGAUCAGGUAGGAAUACCCGCUGAACUUAA
rnacentral:misc_RNA from 1 species